GUCCACGCAGUGAAGCCGGGUCAAUGUCCCAUACCGGAGAUGAUUCCACUGUGUGCUAAAAGCUGUUUCCAUGAUGGCCAGUGUCCUGCCACACAGAAAUGUUGCCCAACCACCGCUGGCUUCGCAUGCAGUGAACCACAUUGUCAGGGAAGAGGUCAGGCAAGUUGUCAAGAAAGCAGCCAGGGCAGCGGCCAGGGCAGCGGUAAUGGCCAGGGUAGCGGCCAGGGCCAGGGUAGCGGUCAGGAAAGCAGCCAGGGUAGCGGCCAGGGAAGAGCGGUUAUGGCCAGGGAAGCGGCCAGGGCCAGGGGUAGCGGCCAGGGAAGCGGCCAGGGAAGCGGUUAUGG